AGACUGUAGAAUCUCUGCGGGUAACUGUGUGAUUUCUUCAGUGACAUCACAUUUGCCUGCAGAGAUUUUCCAGUCU
rfam:Callithrix jacchus chromosome 14, whole genome shotgun sequence